UUUGACUCUGGCCUCAAAUCAGGUAGGACUACCCGCUGAACUUAAGCAUAUCAAUAAGCGGA
rnacentral:rRNA from 1 species